CCUACGGGUGGCAGCAGUGAGGAAUAUUGGUCAAUGGACGCAAGUCUGAACCAGCCAUGCCGCGUGCAGGAAGACGGUCCUAUGAGCUUUAAACUGCUUUUGUACGGGGGUAAACGCAGAUACGUGUAUCUGUCUGUAUGUACCGUACGAAUUAGGAACGGCUAACUUCGUGCCAGCAGCCGCGGUACUACGUAGGAGUCAAGCGUUAUCCGGUUUGAUUGGGUUUAAAGGGUGCGUAGGCGGGCGGAUAAGUUAGAGGUGAAAUCCCGAGGCUCAACUUCGGAAGUGCCUCUGAUACUGUGCGACUAGAGAGUAGUAGCGGUAAGCGGAAUGCAAGGUGUAGCGGUGAAAUGCUUAGAGAUCAGGAAGAACACCAGUGGCGAAGGCGGCUUAC
rnacentral:rRNA from 1 species